rnacentral:rRNA from 1 species
UACAGAGGUCUCAAGCGUUGUUCGGAUUUACUGGGCGUAAAGGGUGCGUAGGUGGUGGGGUAAGUCGUGAUGUGAAAUCUCCAGCUCAACUUGGAAAUGGCAUUGGAAACUACCUUGCUCGAGGAUUGAAGGGGGGACUGGAAUGCUCGGUGUAGCAGUGAAAUGCGUAGAUAUCGAGCGGAACACCAGUGGCGAAGGCGAGUCCCUGGACAGUUACUGACACUGAGGCACGAAGGCCAGGGGAGACGAAACCGGGG